rnacentral:rRNA from 1 species
UACGAGGGGAGCAAGCGUUGUUCGGAAUCAUUGGGCGUAAAGGGCGCGUAGGCGGCCUGCCCAAGUCCAGGGUGAAAGCCCUCGGCUCAACCGAGGAAUGGCCUUGGAUACUGUGCGGCUUGAGUAUUGGAGAGGAAAGCGGAAUUCCCAGUGUAGCGGUGAAAUGCGUAGAUAUUGGGAGGAACACCUGUGGCGAAGGCGGCUUUCUGGACAAUCACUGACGCUGAGGCGCGAAAGCUAGGGGAGCAAACGGG